AUUGAACGCUGGCGGCAUGCCUUACACAUGCAAGUCGAGCGGCAGCGCGGGGGCAACCCUGGCGGCGAGCGGCGAACGGGUGAGUAAUACAUCGGAACGUGCCCAGUAGUGGGGGAUAACCUCUCGAAAGAGAGGCUAAUACCGCAUACGACCUACGGGUGAAAGCGGGGGACCGCAAGGCCUCGCGCUAUUGGAGCGGCCGAUGUCGGAUUAGCUAGUUGGCGGGGUAAAGGCCCACCAAGGCGACGAUCCGUAGCUGGUCUGAGAGGACGACCAGCCACACUGGAACUGAGACACGGUCCAGACUCCUACGGGAGGCAGCAGUGGGGAAUUUUGGACAAUGGGCGCAAGCCUGAUCCAGCCAUGCCGCGUGAGUGAAGAAGGGCUUCGGGUUGUAAAGCUCUUUCGGCGGGGACGAAACGGUCCGUGCCAACACCACGGACUAAUGACGGUACCCGCAGAAGAAGCACCGGCUAACUACGUGCCAGCAGCCGCGGUAAUACGUAGGGUG
rnacentral:rRNA from 1 species